AAAGAAGGAUGUUUUGUUUAGACAUAAAAGUACCUUAAGGCCUUUUUUUAGUACGAGCGGGUAAAUAU
rnacentral:tRNA from 1 species